UGGGGAAUUUUGCACAAUGGAGGAAACUCUGAUGCAGCGACGCCGCGUGAGUGAUGAAGAUCUUCGGAUUGUGAAACUCUGUCCUUAGUGAAGAUAAUGACAGUAACUAAGAAGCAAGCCCUGGCUAAAUACGUGCCAGCAGCCGCGGUAAUACGUAUGGGGCAAGCGUUGUCCGGAAUUAUUGGGCGUAAAGGGUACGUAGGCGGUUUAAUAAGUCCUAAUUAAAAGGCUAUGGCUCAACCAUAGUAUGGUUAGGAAACUGUUGAACUUGAGUAGAUGAGGGGAAAGUGGAAUUCCAUGUGUAGCGGUGAAAUGCGUAGAUAUAUGGAGGAACACCAAUGGCGAAGGCAACUUUCUGGAAUCAAACUGACGCUGAGGUACGAAGGCGUGGGGAGCAAACAGG
rnacentral:rRNA from 1 species